rnacentral:rRNA from 1 species
CAGUAGCCGCGGGAAUACGAAGGGGGCUAGCGUUGCUCGGAAUGACUGGGCGUAAAGGGCGCGUAGGCGGCGAUCAAAGUCAGGCGUGAAAUUCCUGGGCUCAACCUGGGGGCUGCGUUUGAUACUUGAUUGCUAGAGUGGGGAAGAGGGUCGUGGAAUUCCCAGUGUAGAGGUGAAAUUCGUAGAUAUUGGGAAGAACACCGGUGGCGAAGGCGGCGACCUGGUCCUUGACUGACGCUGAGGCGCGAAAGCGUGGGGAGCAAACAGGAUUAGAUACCCCUGUAGUCCCUGUCUCUUAUAA